GACGAACGCUGGCGGCGUGCUUAACACAUGCAAGUCGAACGGAAAGGGCCCUGCUUUUGUGGGGUGCUCGAGUGGCGAACGGGGGAGUAACACGUGAGUAACCUGCCCUUGACUUUGGGAUAACUUCAGGAAACUGGGGCUAAUACCGGAUAGGAGCUCCUGCUGCAUGGGGGGGGUUGGAAAGUUUCGGCGGGGGGGGGUGGACUCGCGGCUUAUCAGGUUGUUGGUGGGGUAGUGGCUUACCAAGGCUUUGACGGGUCGCCGGCCUGAGAGGGUGACCGGCCACAUUGGGACUGAGAUAGGGCCAAGACUCCAACGGGAGGCAGAAGUGGGGAAUUUUGCACAAUGGGCGGAAGCCUGAUGCAGCAACGCCGGGUGCGGGAUGCGGGCCUUGGGGUUGUAAACCGCUUUGGCCUGUGACGAAGCGUGAGUGACGGUAAUGGGUAAAGAAGCACCGGCUAACUACGUG
rnacentral:rRNA from 1 species